rnacentral:rRNA from 1 species
AGACCCGAAACCCGGUGAUCUAGCCAUGGGCAGGUUGAAGGUUGGGUAACACUAACUGGAGGACCGAACCGACUAAUGUUGAAAAAUUAGCGGAUGACCUGUGGCUGGGGGUGAAAGGCCAAUCAAACCGGGAGAUAGCUGGUUCUCCCCGAAAGCUAUUUAGGUAGCGCCUCGUGAAUUCAUCUCCGGGGGUAGAGCACUGUUUCGGCUAGGGGGCCAUCCCGGCUUACCAACCCGAUGCAAACUGCGAAUACCGGAGAAUGUUAUCACGGGAGACACACGGCGGGUGCUAACGUCCGUCGUGAAGAGGGAAACAACCCAGACCGCCAGCUAAGGUCCCAAAGUCAUGGUUAAGUGGGAAACGAUGUGGGAAGGCCCAGACAGCCAGGAUGUUGGCUUAGAAGCAGCCAUCAUUUAAAGAAAGCGUAAUAGCUCACUGGUCGAGUCGGCCUGCGCGGAAGAUGUAACGGGGCUAAACCAUGCACCGAAGCUGCGGCAGCGAACGUAUCACUUAAAGCGAUUCAGCGGGUUACGAUUGACGGAGCGAAGCGACGUCAAAGCGUAUACAAAGUCGAGUCGGUUUAAGGAUACGUUCGUUGGGUAGGGGAGCGUUCUGUAAGCCUGUGAAGGUGGCCUGUGAGGGUUGCUGGAGGUAUCAGAAGUGCGAAUGCUGACAUAAGUAACGAUAAAGCGGGUGAAAAGCCCGCUCGCCGGAAGACCAAGGGUUCCUGUCCAACGUUAAUCGGGGCAGGGUGAGUCGACCCCUAAGGCGAGGCCG